rnacentral:rRNA from 1 species
GUGGGGAAUUUUGGACAAUGGGCGCAAGCCUGAUCCAGCAAUGCCGCGUGCAGGAAGAAGGCCUUCGGGUUGUAAACUGCUUUUGUACGGAACGAAACGGUCCGGGUUAAUACCCUGGGCUAAUGACGGUACCGUAAGAAUAAGCACCGGCUAACUACGUGCCAGCACCCGCGGUAAUACGUAGGGUGCAAGCGUUAAUCGGAAUUACUGGGCGUAAAGCGUGCGCAGGCGGUUUUGUAAGACAGGCGUGAAAUCCCCGGGCUCAACCUGGGAAUUGCGCUUGUGACUGCAAGGCUGGAGUGCGGCAGAGGGGGAUGGAAUUCCGCGUGUAGCAGUGAAAUGCGUAGAUAUGCGGAGGAACACCGAUGGCGAAGGCAAUCCCCUGGGCCUGCACUGACGCUCAUGCACGAAAGCGUGGGGAGCAAACAGGAUUAGAUACCCCUGUAGUCC